rnacentral:misc_RNA from 1 species
ACUGACCCUAGUAGCAGAUCUCUGGGCAACGGAUGCAACCGAUGGCUGGUCAGCACCAGGAACACGAUUGUUUGUCGUGGAGAAGGGUGGUGAAUGAUGCUCCCAAUUUUGAUAAUGAAGAUCCACUGCAGGAAAGGCAUAAGAAGACGGUAUUUCACUGGGAACUGAUGGGCCAUUCCAAUGACCGCUGAAAUUAGAAGCUUCAGAAGCACUUGAACUUGAUGACGAGGGAUGAAUAGGCCCGAAGUAAGCAAUAUACGGGCAAGGAUGAGUUGCAG